GCAGCCGCCGCGGGAAUACAGAGGGUGCGAGCGUUAAUCGGAUUUACUGGGCGUAAAGCGUGCGUAGGCGGCUUCUUAAGUCGGAUGUGAAAUCCCUGAGCUUAACUUAGGAAUUGCAUUCGAUACUGGGAAGCUAGAGUAUGGGAGAGGAUGGUAGAAUUCCAGGUGUAGCGGUGAAAUGCGUAGAGAUCUGGAGGAAUACCGAUGGCGAAGGCAGCCAUCUGGCCUAAUACUGACGCUGAGGUACGAAAGCAUGGGGAGCAAACAGGAUUAGAUACCCGUGUAGUCCCUGUCUCUUAUAA
rnacentral:rRNA from 1 species